rnacentral:pre_miRNA from 1 species
UUUUUGUUUCGUUUUGGUCCCUUAACUUAUUUUUUGGUUUCGUUUUGGUCCCUUAACUUAUUUUUUGGUUUCGUUUUGGUCCCUUAACUCUAAUACAUUCAUCCUAGCAUAAAGGACCAAAGUGGUUGACGGAGGAAGAGUUAAGGGACCAAAACGAAACCAAAAAAUAAGUUAAGGGACCAAAACGAAACUUUUAAUAGUUAAGGGA